rnacentral:rRNA from 1 species
CGCUGGCGGCAGGCUUACACAUGCAAGUCGAGCGGGGUGAUGGUGCUUGCACUAUCACUUAGCGGCGGACGGGUGAGUAAUGCUUAGGAAUCUGCCUAUUAGUGGGGGACAACAUCUCGAAAGGGAUGCUAAUACCGCAUACGUCCUACGGGAGAAAGCAGGGGAUCACUUGUGACCUUGCGCUAAUAGAUGAGCCUAAGUCGGAUUAGCUAGUUGGUGGGGUAAAGGCCUACCAAGGCGACGAUCUGUAGCGGGUCUGAGAGGAUGAUCCGCCACACUGGGACUGAGACACGGCCCAGACUCCUACGGGAGGCAGCAGUGGGGAAUAUUGGACAAUGGGGGGAACCCUGAUCCAGCCAUGCCGCGUGUGUGAAGAAGGCCUUAUGGUUGUAAAGCACUUUAAGCGAGGAGGAGGCUCUUUUGGUUAAUACCCAAGAUGAGUGGACGUUACUCGCAGAAUAAGCACCGGCUAACUCUGUGCCAGCAGCCGCGGUAAUACAGAGGGUGCAAGCGUUAAUCGGAUUUACUGGGCGUAAAGCGCGCGUAGGCGGCCAAUUAAGUCAAAUGUGAAAUCCCCGAGCUUAACUUGGGAAUUGCAUUCGAUACUGGUUGGCUAGAGUGUGGGAGAGGAUGGUAGAAUUCCAGGUGUAGCGGUGAAAUGCGUAGAGAUCUGGAGGAAUACCGAUGGCGAAGGCAGCCAUCUGGCCUAACACUGACGCUGAGGUGCGAAAGCAUGGGGAGCAAACAGGAUUAGAUACCCUGGUAGUCCAUGCCGUAAACGAUGUCUACUAGCCGUUGGGGCCUUUGAGGCUUUAGUGGCGCAGCUAACGCGAUAAGUAGACCGCCUGGGGAGUACGGUCGCAAGACUAAAACUCAAAUGAAUUGACGGGGGCCCGCACAAGCGGUGGAGCAUGUGGUUUAAUUCGAUGCAACGCGAAGAACCUUACCUGGGCCUUGACAUAGUAGAAACUUUCCAGAGAUGGAUUGGUGCCU